UACGUAGGGUGCGAGCGUUAAUCGGAAUUACUGGGCGUAAAGCGUGCGCAGGCGGUUUUGUAAGCCAGAUGUGAAAUCCCCGGGCUUAACCUGGGAAUGGCAUUUGGGACUGCAAGGCUGGAGUGUGGCAGAGGAGACUGGAAUUCCUGGUGUAGCAGUGAAAUGCGUAGAUAUCAGGAGGAAUACCGAUGGCGAAGGCAGGUCGUCUGGGCUGACACUGACGCUCAUGCACGAAGCGUGGGGAGCAAACAAGG
rnacentral:rRNA from 1 species